rnacentral:rRNA from 1 species
AGAAUCAACGCUGGCGGCGUGCCUAACACAUGCAAGUCGAACGAGAAAGUGGAGCAAUCCAUGAGUAAAGUGGCGCACGGGUGAGUAACACGUGACUAACCUACCCUUGAGUGGGGGAUAACCUAGAGAAAUCUGGGCUAAUACCGCAUAAUACCUUCGGGUCAAAGGAGCAAUUCGCUUAAGGAGGGGGUCGCGGCCGAUUAGUUAGUUGGCGGGGUAAUGGCCCACCAAGACUAUGAUCGGUAUCCGGCCUGAGAGGGCGCACGGACACACUGGAACUGAAACACGGUCCAGACUCCUACGGGAGGCAGCAGUGGGAAUUUUGCGCAAUGGGGGAAACCCUGACGCAGCAACGCCGCGUGGAGGAUGAAGUCCCUUGGGACGUAAACUCCUUUCGAUCGGGACGAUUAUGACGGUACCGGAAGAAGAAGCCCGGCUAACUUCGCGCCAGCAGCCGC